UUUUUUUGUUUUUCUUGACUCAUUUUGUGAUCAGGUUUGCUGAAGCCAAGAGAUCCCUUCAAUACAAAUGAAACCAUGCACACUAUGGGCAAUCUACAAUCAAGACCAAGUCAUUUGACACUACACCUCACUCAUCUAUACACUGAGGACGAUUCUAAGGUUGUUGCAAGAGUAAACUUGUAUGACCUGCAGGGUUUAACACUGAAGCAGCAGCAAAUGCAGGCACCUCUCUCGCUGCUGAUUUAAUGAGGACCGUGAGGUUUAGGAGAGUGCCUAGGAGUUAAAGUGCUCACUGUGAGAUCUUUUGCCAAGACCAGAGUUUGGAUCCCCUGGACUCACAUGAACGUUCUUCUGCCUAGAAAGCCAGCAUCUGAAGGCAGAGACAGGAGCCCUGGAGCGAACUGGCUAGCAUGGCAAGCUGAGAGUUCACCUGAAUGGGCCUGCCUUACUAAUAACUUGGAAAGCGCUGCACACAGGAGAACAUGUAUGCAAAUCACAUACACAUACAAAAAAGAAAGAACUCGCACACUGCUUCACUAUUAAGUACAUAAGACUUAUAAUCCAUCUCUCUGUGGUGAUCCUAAGCCUCUCAGAAUGUCAGAGUCCAAGAUUCGUCUGCACCAAUAGUGCUUACUAUAGGCAGGCAUGGCAGCCCAAGCCUAUGAUCUCAGCUACUCGAGAGGCUGAGGCAGAGAACCACGGUUCAAGGCCAGCAUGGGCAUCAGUAAGCCCUGGUCUGAAAAAAACUAAAGGGAGCUGGAAAUGCCCCUCAGUGGUGUGGGAAUGCCCCUCAGUGGUGAACUGCUGGUCUG